GAUGAACGCUAGCGGGAGGCCUAACACAUGCAAGCCGAGCGGGAUUUGUUGGUUAGCUUGCUAACUAACAAUGAGAGCGGCGUACGGGUGCGUAGCACGUGUGCAACCUGCCUUUAUCUGGGGGAUAGCCUUUCGAAAGGAAGAUUAAUACCCCAUAACAUAUUGAUUGGCAUCAGUUAAUAUUGAAAGCUCCGGCGGAUAUAGAUGGGCACGCGUAAGAUUAGCUAGUUGGUGAGGUAACGGCUCACCAAGGCUGCGAUCUUUAGGGGGCCUGAGAGGGGGAUCCCCCACACUGGUACUGCGACACGGACCAGACUCCUACGGGAGGCAGCAGUGAGGAAUAUUGGACAAUGGGGGAGAGCCUGAUCCAGCCAUCCCGCGUGAAGGACUAAGGACCUAUGGUUUGUAAACUUCUUUUAGACAGGGAUAAACCUACUCUCGUGAGGGUAGCUGAAGGUACUGUAUGAAUAAGCACCGGCUAACUCCGUG
rnacentral:rRNA from 1 species